rnacentral:rRNA from 1 species
AUUGAACGCUGGCGGCAGGCCUAACACAUGCAAGUCGAGCGGAUGAAGGGAGCUUGCUCCUGGAUUCAGCGGCGGACGGGUGAGUAAUGCGUAGGAAUCUGCCUGGUAGUGGGGGAUAACGUCCGGACACGGGCGCUAAUACCGCAUACGUCCUGAGGGAGAAAGUGGGGGAUCUUCGGACCUCACGCUAUCAGAUGAGCCUAGGUCGGAUUAGCUAGUUGGUGGGGUAAAGGCCUACCAAGGCGACGAUCCGUAACUGGUCUGAGAGGAUGAUCAGUCACACUGGAACUGAGACACGGUCCAGACUCCUACGGGAGGCAGCAGUGGGGAAUAUUGGACAAUGGGCGAAAGCAUGAUCCAGCCAUGCCGCGUGUGUGAAGAAGGUCUUCGGAUUGUAAAGCACUUUCAGUUGGGAGGAAGGGAAGUAAGUUAAUACCUUGCUGUUUUGACGUUACCAACAGAAUAAGCACCGGCUAACUUCGUG